rnacentral:rRNA from 1 species
GACAGAGGUGCCAAGCGUUAGGCGGAAUCACUGGGCUUAAAGCGUGUGUAGGCGGAUCGUUAAGUACCUUGUGAAAUCCCACGGCUCAACCGUGGAACUGCUCGGUAUACUGGCGGUCUUGAGCCACCUAGGGGCAACUGGAACAAGCGGUGGAGCGGUGAAAUGCGUAGAUAUCUGGAGGAACACCGGUGGCGAAGGCGGCAUUCUGGACCGAAACUGACGCUGAGGCGCGAAAGCCAGGGGAGCAAACGGG